UUGAUCAUCCUGGCAUUAGCGACAUCAGCAUCGUCCUCCAAGUGAAAGACCUACACCUUCCAAGGCCAGUCCCUAUUUACGGACACGGGGAUCAACCAAACCGAGUUCUACGUUCUUCCCAAAGACAACGCUGGUAGACCGGAUCAAUGCAGACAUUCGCAGCCCCAUUCUCGGUCUCCACCAAGGGCUAUACCAGGUUAUCCAUGGGACAUACAUGGGAAUCCUUGCAAACACCGGCCUGGGAGCUUCCAGUCCUCGCAUUGCUCAUUUGCUGAUGGUAGCAGCCUCGAGUUUCAAGGCGAGGCCGGGAGCUCGACCGCUGGAUCUCAAGCUCUCUUCGCCAUCGUUGGUGGCACCAGAAGAUUUGAAGGAGCCACGGGCACAGCGAAAGAAACAAGCAAAGGAAACAAUCUCUAUGUCGUGGAAUUCAUCGCAAAAGUCUGCAAGUCUUGAUCAUAACUCAAUCUAGUUUGAUCAAGACUUAAAGGCAGUUCCCUUUAGGUCACGCUAAUAAUCGUUGUUUAAUCUCGCCA